CACGUAGGGACCAAGCGUUGUCCGGAUUUAUUGGGCGUAAAGAGCUCGUAGGCGGUUCGGUAAGUCGGGUGUGAAAACUCUGGGCUCAACUCAGAGAUGCCACCCGAUACUGCCGUGACUUGAGUCCGGUAGGGGAGCACGGAAUUCCUGGUGUAGCGGUGAAAUGCGCAGAUAUCAGGAGGAACACCGGUGGCGAAGGCGGUGCUCUGGGCCGGUACUGACGCUGAGGAGCGAAAGCGUGGGUAGCAAACAGG
rnacentral:rRNA from 1 species